rnacentral:rRNA from 1 species
UACGUAGGGGGCUAGCGUUGUCCGGAAUCAUUGGGCGUAAAGCGCGUGUAGGCGGCCCGGUAAGUCCGCUGUGAAAGUCGGGGGCUCAACCCUCGGAUGCCGGUGGAUACUGUCGGGCUUGAGUACGGAAGAGGCGAGUGGAAUUCCUGGUGUAGCGGUGGAAUGCGCAGAUAUCAGGAGGAACACCAAUAGCGAAGGCAGCUCGCUGGGACGGUAUUGACGCUAAGGCGCGAAAGCGUGGGGAGCAAACAGG